CACGUGUCUGUGCGCUUGGAAAACAUGGAGUCAGUGUUACCGUGUGUUCCAUGUUCUCUUACUUGCUAUCCUUUGAGACUUCAGCCUGGACAGGAAAUUAAAGAAACACUUGUCAGCUUUGUGAAUAAGAAUUAAUUGAAUGCAGCAUUUGUAAUGACUUGUGUAGGCAGUGUAACACAUGCAACUCUACGGAUGUCAGAUAGCAAGACGGUAAAGAAAUAUGAAGGUCAUUUCGAAAUUGUUUCUUUGGUUGGAACUCUUUCUGUGGGUGGCCAUCUGCAUGCAAGCCUAAGUGAUAAGGACGGCAAUGUUUACGGUGGCCAUGUGAUGGGUAAUUUGAUUGUAUAUACUACCGCAGAGAUUAUGGUUGGCGAGUGUUCAGGAGCUUUGUUCACCAGAGAACAUGAUACAAGGACAGGCUUUAAAGAACUUGUAAUAGAAAAAUCUGCAUAAGAGGGCUAGUGUUGAUGCAUUUAUCAAUUCUAAAUUAACUUUGCUCUUGUAGUAAACGAGCCUGCAUUGAUACAAGACGAAACUGUUUUAUCAAAGGAUAUUUACAACAUAUAACAAGUUUUAAGGGAAAAGUAUGGUAUCGCUUUUUGGUCCCUUGAAUUAGAAAAAUAAAACAUGUUAUAAAUCUG